GUGAACGCGGAAAAAAUAUUCCGCAGUGAAAAUCGGAGGAAUUGAAAUAAAACCAAUUUUAAAGGGUUUUGAACAAGGAAAUCAGUUCAAAAAUAUUCUAUCCACCAUUUCGCAUCUAUUCCACCCGGUUUCGCAGCCAUGAAAUGCAGUAUAGUCGAGUUUUUGAAAAAUAUAAGUAUUUCGAUUUUCACGUACGCAAGAGGUGUAAAUGUACCUUUAAUGAAUUCUGCCGCACAUCUGAUGAAUUUUGCUGCACACCUGGUGAGUUUCCGCCCGUUCCAGCGCACAAUUACGCACACUUCAGUGUGCUGUCAAUGUGCUUUCCUCGCGUUCCAUACAGUUCCAUACGAACGUUGCAGAGUUGAGUAAAUUUUGUUCACACUUGAUGAAAUCUGCCGCACAUUUGAUAAAUUUCGCUGCACAUCUGGUGAAUUUCCGCCCGUUCCAGCAUAAAUUUCCGCACACAGCUACCAAUGUGUUUUCCAGAGGUAUGAAGUAUUCAUCGAAUCUCAUGUAAAUGGCGAAUCAAAAAGAUGGGACGCACAUCUGAUGAAUUUUCUGCACACUUGCGUUCCAAAUGAACAUUUCAUACCGCUGAAGGUGGCAACUGGAAUCAAGGGAAUCAGGUGACUCGAUUAUAUUCAGCCAACGCGCGGCGCGGAAUAAGGGCCAUCAUUUAAAAAAAAAUCUUUGUGAGUUGAAUCCUGUUUAUUUCAUAGUUUUCUUACAUAACCCAGUCUACGAACAACUAUAUGUAGGCAUAAUCAUAAUUAUAGCUUCGGUUUUUUUUCGCCAAAAAUAUGUGGUAUACUUAUUUCAUGAAUUCAUCUCUACAGUUGCUUUAGGAAAUUGGAGUUCUAAGUUGUUAAAUGUAAUUCAACAUCAUCGUCUUAUUUAUGUAUAAUUUUGUUGCACUUCUCAAAUUUUUGUACCCGUCGAUGUUUCAAUUUUUUUCACUUUCAGUUUUACUGGUAUCUUUUUCUGCAACCGAUUCAGAUUCGACCGCAAUGGGUUGCAAACCAUCUGUUGUUCCGACAUCCUGCUCCGUUGUCACACAUUUUUUACCAGUGUUUGAGGCUCCUUUAUCGGCUUCAAUCUUGGCGUACUCGGUUUUGAUCAAAUCGCGUAGUUCAUCCUGAAACGAAAAGCUUAUCACUAAAGCGGGUCAUAGACUACACAAAUGGCCUAUACAAAUUCGAUGAUUACACGACGAUUGUUUGAUUCUUGCUCGCCCACACACGAUACAAACAUAAUUUCACGCGAACACAAACGAUUGCUGGCGAAAACAGCAACAAACAAAAACAUCUCCAACCCGGCUAGGAGGAUGGUUUGUACAAAAUAUUUCGAACCCGACCGAUUUUACUCCAACUGUUUGGGCGCUCAUUCAAGCAGUGCCAUACACGAUGCAAAUCGUGUUCACAGCGACAAAAUUUCAUCGAAUUUCUUCGCAUUUGUACAAAUGUGUAGUCUGUGGCCCGCUUAAGCGUCAAUACAAACAUUUUUCACGCGAACACAAACGAUUGCUGCCGAAAACAGCAACAGCAACAAAAAAAAACCAUCUCCACCCGGCUGGGAGGAUGGUUUGUACAAAAUAUUUCGAUCCCGACCGAUUUUACUCCAACCGUUUGGGCGCUCAUUCAAGCAGUGCCAUACAUUUUGCAAAUCGUGUUUACAGCGACAAAAUUUCAUCGAAUCAAACAAUCGCCGUGGAAUCAUCGAAUUUUCCCAAGCCAAUUUGUGUAUAGUCUAUGGCCCGCUUUAAGCGGACUACAGACUACACCACAUUUGUACAAAUGCGAUGAAAUUCUGUCGCUGUGAAUACGUUUUGCAUAGUGUAUGGCACUGCUCGAAUGACCGCACAAACCGCUUGAGCGAAAUCGGUCGGGAUCGAAAUUUUUUGUACAAGCAACCCUCUGUGGCAUGGUGUAUGGUGCUGUUUAUACAAAAUACAGGCUCCAGCCGGGGUGGUUCUAUGCUCACCCACACACGAAACAUAUAUCAAGUUUUUUUUUGUUUCGAUUAUAGUCGUUUUACCAUCUUUAUGGCAUUCGCGACUUUAUCAACGAUGCAGUUGGCGGAUCGUUAUUGAAAAACUCAUCCGGUACAACUGUGUUCGAUGUUUACUCUUGGGCUCGAACUCGCGGACAUCGGCUCAGGAGACAACAGACUUGCCAACUGAGCUAUAUCACAAGCCCUAACAUAUUUCAAGUGAACACAAACGAUUGCUGGCGGAAACAGCAACAACAAAAACUCCCUCCACCCCGGUUGGUUUGAGUAAAUAGCCUGGAUUUUGUACAAACAGCAUCAUGCCACAAAGGGUUGUUUGUACAAAAUAUUUCGAUUCGGAACGAUUUUACUCAAGCCGUUUGCGCGCUCAUUCAAGCAGUGCCACACACCAUGCAAAUCGCAUUCACAGCGCCAGAAUUUCAUCACAUUUGCCCAAAUAAAAAGUAGUCUAUGGCCGGCGACAGAAUGUCAUCGAAUUUCAUCGCAUUUGUGCAAAUGUUAUGUAGUCUAUGGCCCACUUUAGUCUCUUUCCUAUUCGUAAAAUUAGAUCUGACUGAAUAUCGUCAAAACAUGCGCUCCAUAGCCAACCAUUAAAAAAAAGAUAUUUUGCUUCGACAUAGCUUGAAGUAAUCGAAAGAAAUUAGUGGUAAUGAGUAGUGUAGUAAGUAUUCUUCAAUAAUACUCACCCCCAUGCCAAGUUUAUCUGCAAGGAAGAAACAACCGUCGUCACAGUUACCGGUCCAUGCUACAUCUCGUCGAUUACCGGGCAGAUCGAAGCACAGACCUUCGCCGAACAUCAUUGCCCGGAAGAAGCCAUAGCCGCCACCACCAACUUUGUCCCGAUUGAUCAGCAAUCUAACACAAUCGUCGCUGACGUACUCUACAAGCGAAGCAAACGGUUGCACUGUGAGAGACGUUCCCAUGAUGAUUAGCAAAUCACAUUCGGCAAAGUCACGAUGAGGCAAAACAUGAAAUCUUUCCGGCAAUCCUUCGCCGAAAAAUACAAUAUCCGGUUUGAUUAUGCCACUGCAGCUACAUGUCGGUAUUUCAUCAGCAAAUAUUUUCUCUGAAAGUUUAAAUUAAAUGAUUAUAACAAAAAGUUUAUGUAAUUUAUUUUAAAUUUGGGCCAAACCUUUAACAAAUUCGAGUGAAUAAGCUUUCUUGCACUGCAGGCAAUGAUUGGUGAAAAAUGUCCCAUGCGCUUCUACGAUUUUGUCUUCCUCGAUACCUGCAAUUCGCUCCAAUGUAUCGAUGUUCUGGGUAUAAUGCCGUAUAAGCAAACCCUUUUGCUCGAGUAAUUUAACGAAAUAAUGCGAAGGUGUUGGUUUGAAUGUACCAGGGUACAGCUCUUUGGCUAGCUGGAAGAAAGGUUUCGGAUUUUGAUAGAAGUACUCCAGCUCAAAAAUUGCCUGCGGGUACGGUAGAUUGUAUUUCAAUAAGUUAUUGUACAGCCCAGUGUCUGGUGAUCGGAAGUCGGGGAUUCCCGCGGCUGAAAGUGGUCAAAGUUUGUUUUAAUGAACGAAUCCUUAUACAACGGCGCGUUCGUAAAUUGAUUUUUUUGGGUGAUGCAUCAGUCGAUUGAUUUGUUUGGUAGAUGUCAAAUCACUUUCCAUAUGCUUUUGCAUACGUUUGUUUGGAAUUUCGAACGCCAGCAUCGAUAAAAAAAAUCACUUCGAUAGAAUAAAUCAAUUUACGAACACGCCGUAAGUAGCAAAACAUCUUACAAGUUGAAAUGCCAGCGCCGACCAUAGUGACUAUUUUUUUGAAUCCUCCGUUCUUCCAGUGCUUAAUAACACCAUCGAUGUCUACAGUUUCGAGAACCUUUUUGCGAGGAACACUAUCCUUAUCUUCGUAAGAAUCGGACGUAUAGAAGCCAAGUUUGUCGGAAAGAUACUGCCGAAUCCUCUCAAUGCUAAUCGAAUCUGUCUGAGAACUGCCACCUCCGGCUACAUUAUAAUGGUCCUCGUCUUCACUGUCAUCAAACUGGGAGAAAUCAGGAGGCUUGUUUGAAGUACUACUUCGUCUUUCGUUUCCACCGGUAGCUAGUUCUAAUUCUUUUUCAGCAUUCACAACACUCACUUCAUCACUGUUAGCGGAGUGUCCAGCUCCAUUUGAAUUUUCACUUGUUGCAGAGCCAGCAACCGGCUGUGGCGGAAUAUCCGACAUAACACCUAGAUUUCGUAUGCGUUUUACCAAAAGGGUGGUUAUUGGCAACGUUAAGUGCUUUGAGAAAGCUCACAAAUAAAGCCGUUUUCUGGUUGUCUCAGCCUGUCUCAGCCAGCGAGCAUGAACAUUAUUCUUCUUGUUGUGUUUAAUGCACCGUUUUUGUUUUCUCCAUCGCAGUCGUUCAGUGCUAGGGGUGUCAGGUGUCCUGAUUUUUCAGGAUUUGUCCUGAUUUUCGAGAGGCCGUCCUGAUUUUUAAAAAUUGCUUAAACUGUCCUGAUUUUUGAAAAAUGGCCCUUAAAAUGUCCUGAUUUUUGUAAAACUUCUAAAUUAUUAAUAAAUUUAAAUGAUAUUAACUGCAGGCCAGCCAAGGUUCUUCUAGCUUCAGUUGCAUAACUUGAGGCGUCUUCAGCACCUGUGUGUCGCCUUAAGUUAUGCAAUCUACCCGCAUAAUCAAAUAUCAUACCACGAAUCUUCAAUAUCAUUUAAUUCUGAUUACCAUAAUAGUGACUAUCCAGUUUAUCGUCCUUGAAUAAUUUAAUUUUCACCAAAUUUCCAUUUUUGCGGCGUCCCUACUAGAAAUUAUGAUGUACUAUUACUGGUCUUAAAAACGAAUUUGAUUUGUGUCUUUACUUCACGUUAUUCAUAAAGAAACAAAAUGGCGUUUUCGAGUGAGUUCGAGGUUUCAAUUCUUAAGAAAAAGACGUUCUCUCGCGAAAUUUUCUGCAUCGUAACGCAAGCUAUACCGCAAUCGGUGAGGAAACAGUGGCGAUGGAACCAGUGUGGAAAAAAGUGAAACUUUACGAGGUGGUUUCUACAAGAAUUGUACGAAAAAAGUCAACUCAGAAGAUAUUUUAUCCGAAGAACUGGAUCUUACAGCUUGAGGCGAACUGUAAAUUAGACAGCCCAAAAAUUUGUUCCGGUAUAAAUUAUACCAGUGCCGUUUCCUCAGCAGAAGUGGAGGAUAGAGCUCGGACCAAACCAAGCUUUUGACCUAUGCUUUAACGGCAGCUGAAUAGCAAUGUUGCCGAUGGAAUGGCACAGGAAAUUGUCGACAGAAAUGGUAUCGUUAGGCGGGAAUGGAAAAUGAAAGAAGCGAAUACUUUCCUGUCGCUGCUGUUUCAAUCGUACCGGUACCGGUAAUUCAAACUCCCGGAAGGUGUGCCGAACCUCGGUCAAGCUGGAAAAAUCGGCCCGUGGAGAUGGAUCAUCACCGGAAGGAUUAUUCUACGGGUGAGUUGAAUGUUUUUAGAGGGCAAAUAAGCGAUUUUAGUAAUUGACGUUCAAGUGUUUCAGAUGCGACGAGGAAGUGUGGUCAGUGGAGGAAGUUUACAAAAGAGUCGUAGUAGUUCAAGUUAAAAGUUUGUGCUAACAAUUUAGUGUCCGCGGCUACCACUCGACCGAAUUGGAAGCGCCACUGAAGUUGUUCAACAUCCAAAACAACAACGAAACGCUGCCGACAGAGCUGUGCUCGCCUAAGUUUUCUUCGUUCCCGAGCUGUGCCUCGAUCGAAAAUGACGCCAGUCUGCUCAAGGUGAGCGGUUCGAUAGCUACCAAAUGGAACGGCUGAUGGAAAACUUCUCCUCUUUGGAUGCGCUCAAGAACAAUGCCGCGGAGCAGUUCGAUGCUCGUGAUUUUUUCUCAAACUUCUGGAGUUCAAUCAAGAGAUGUGAAUUUUGUCGCCAGCAACGGGAACGUCACCUUUAAACGCAGCAGAACAGAUAUUCUCCGCUGCGUGAACCGGAUAUCUUAUGCUUCACCUGGUUCGCUUACGGCUGAGGUUAAUAACUUGAAAAAGUCACCAAUUUUAACAUGAGUUAAGAAAACCGAGCCAGUCGUGCACGGUUAAAAUGGAGCUAGGAAACGUUCGGUGACGGAGCAUGAAUAUCCGAUAAAAUGGUCAGCUGAAUUUGUUUUGUUAAAAACACAAAGCAUGCUAGAUUGCCGCAGUACUUCGAAGUACAACUGGCGAAACAGAAAAAACAAAGGGCUGCGAUAUCGACAACCGUUUCAGAGAGAUUUCAACAAUCCGAGUCCAAAUGAAGCUUCCAUUCCUAAUGACAUCAAACUGCCUUGUGUCCAUUUCUUUUGCCUUCGGCGCACCUUCAAUGGCACCCCUGGAAGAGAAAUACCAAAACCACAAAAUUUACGGAUGAAUCACGAGAGAUAUAAAAUUUAAUGAUAUAGGUUACAGUUUAUUUUAUAUAUGAGGAUUUUGUUAUUUAAUUCUAAAUAAGUUUUUGAACUAAAAAAAUUAGAACUAUUUUCGAGGGCUAAGCUUGACUAUGAACUUCUAAAUCGAAAUAAAAUUUUAACAUAGGUAGAACAAAUAACUAUAUUAAAUGUUGCUUAGAAUUGAAAGUUUUAAAUCGAGAAGAAAAAGAAAGACAUCUAGAAAGAUUUUUUUAAUAACACAGAAAAGUGUCAAACUAAAUUUAAAACAUCAAUAACUAGGUAUUUAGAAAUGCCAAUCAAUUCAGAUCUUAAAUACUUAUUAAAAAUUCAAUAUUGAUUUCGAAACUGAGUUUUGAUGUUUAAGUUUUGAGUC